rnacentral:rRNA from 1 species
AGUGAGCUACUUUAAAAUAGUUCUUGAACUAACCCGUCUCUGUUGCAAAAGAGUGGGACAAUUUUUAAGUAGAGGUGAUAAACCUACCGAACUUAAAGAUAGCUGGUUAUUUAAGAAAAGAAUUUUAGUUCUGCCUUAAGCUUUCUAUUAAACAAAAACCUAAAUCAAGCUUAAGAGUUAUUCAAAUAAGGCACAGCUUAUUUGAAACAGGAUACAACCUAGAACACCGGGUAAGAUAUAUUAAAUUUUAACAAGUAGGCCUAAAAGCAGCCAUCUUUUAAAAAGCGUCAAAGCUUAGUACUAAAAAGUCUUAAUGCCUCCAAUAACUUCUAACCCUUAAACACUAUUAAAUAACCCCAUAAUACUAUGGAAGCUAUAAUGCUAGAACAAGUAACAAGAAAAAAACUUUCUCCAAAGUGUAAGCCCAAGCCAGAAUAGACUAACUACUGGCAAUUAACGUCUAUAAACCAACUGCAGUAACAUUAACAAGAAAAUUCUGCAUUUUUUUACCGUUAAUC